GUCAAUUAGAGCAAUGAUAUUUCUCUAUUGGUAAGCAGUAGUGAGAGUUUCAAUGCGAUUUGGUAAGCUGAAUUAACUCCAAAUUGCUUUACCAGGCACCUUUUCUGGCACCGUCCACCGGUGGCUUUGCCUUGAAUCCACUUCAUAUAAAAAAUUUAGUACUGCAGAGAACAAAGACUGUUUUUCCUGGUUAUUACUGCCAGCUUUUGUCCUUCUGGGAGCAAGGAGACAUCGAGUUUCCAAGCUGUGUGCUGUCUCCAGAUGUACUCUCUGGACCAUGUGGUGUUGCACACUGAUUGAGCAGAAUUUGUUCAGGAAAAUAACUCUAGUCAAGGAAAGGAAUUUUCGCUGCUGGACACUAUUGAUAAUUGAGCUUAACACAUCAUUGACAAGUUCACGCGACGCCGCAGCUCCUUUCUCUUGUUGGAUUGGAUCGUCUUUUCGGAGUCAGGGGGAGAGAGAUGCUUAGGCUGCCGCCGGGUGCAUCCGCAAUGCCAUCACAUAUGCUCGCGGCGGGAAGUCAAUUCACCAAGGACGCCGUCUCCUUCUCUCCCUGACUCCCUAUGCAUUGUGAUCUUGUCUGCCGUCAGGUGUUCAGUUCUUGAGUUGCUCUGAAGUACCUCCGCAAAGAGGUGACCGGAGGAAGGCAACCAGGAGAGAUUUGCUUGACAAGAUGACCAAAGCUAUAGUGAGAAGGAUGCCCAUCUCUGUUGCUAGGGAAACCUAAGGCCGCAUGAACCGGUGCAAGCUGCCAAGUUUGCAUCAGAGGCUGGUGUUAUCGUUAGGUCUCAAGUUCUUACCUUGACCCAUUGGAAUCAAUACAUGGAACGGACUGAGCAUUUUGAUGGCUUCAUGGGAAGGCUAUCUGUUAGAGUAUAUUAGGGAUAUCUCUAUAUUAUGUAGAUUAGGAUUGUAUCCGUAUCCUACCAUAUCUGUAGGAGAGGCUCCUUGCCCUUCAAGUCAUGUACCCCUAUAUAUUCAGCCACAAGACUCAAACUAAUACAAUCAUCCAUUUUUAAACCAAUUCUAUUCUCCUACAUGGUAUCACGAGUUUAGGUCUAAGAUCCUUGGCCACAAACCGUAAUCUUCCGCUGCCCCUCGACGCGCCCCUGUUCCUCGCGCACCGCCUGUCGUUCUCCACGGCGCGCUUCCUGCACGCCCCUUCGACAGCCUCCUAGCGCGCCCCCGGGGAGAUCACCCAUGUCGAUCUCCGCCGGGGGCGGCGCCUUCUUCGAUCUCCGCGAUGGAUCCCGUUAGUCCUUCGCCCCCAUAGCAUCUAGCAGCAGCAGAUUGCGAAGUACCUCAUCAUCCGCCAUGGAAGCCGUUGACGACGACCCCGACCUGUGCUGCCAUGGUGCCAGCCGCAGUCCCCCGAGGACGCUUGUGACCCACCUCGUGCUGCCGUGGCAGCCGCAGGGGUACCACGUGGCGCCCUCACCUCGUCGCCAGCGGAAUACGUGGUGGCGCUCCCUACUG